rnacentral:rRNA from 1 species
UGGGGAAUUUUGGACAAUGGGCGAAAGCCUGAUCCAGCAAUGCCGCGUGUGUGAAGAAGGCCUUCGGGUUGUAAAGCACUUUUGUCCGGAAAGAAAUCCUUGGCUCUAAUACAGUCGGGGGAUGACGGUACCGGAAGAAUAAGCACCGGCUAACUACGUGCCAGCAGCCGCGGUAAUACGUAGGGUGCAAGCGUUAAUCGGAAUUACUGGGCGUAAAGCGUGCGCAGGCGGUUUGCUAAGACCGAUGUGAAAUCCCCGGGCUCAACCUGGGAACUGCAUUGGUGACUGGCAGGCUAGAGUAUGGCAGAGGGGGGUAGAAUUCCACGUGUAGCAGUGAAAUGCGUAGAGAUGUGGAGGAAUACCGAUGGCGAAGGCAGCCCCCUGGGCCAAUACUGACGCUCAUGCACGAAAGCGUGGGGAGCAAACAGGAUUAGAUACCCUGGUAGUCCACGCCCUAAACGAUGUCAACUAGUUGUUGGGGGUUCAUUUCCUUAGUAACGUAGCUAACGCGUGAAGUUGACCGCCUGGGGAGUACGGUCGCAAGAUUAAACUCAAUGAAUUGACGGGGUCAUAGCUG